rnacentral:rRNA from 1 species
UCCCAGACUCCUACGGGAGGCAGCAGUGGGGAAUAUUGCACAAUGGGGGGAACCCUGAUGCAGCGACGCCGCGUGAGCGAAGAAGUAUUUCGGUAUGUAAAGCUCUAUCAGCAGGGAAGAAAAUGACGGUACCUGAGUAAGAAGCUCCGGCUAAAUACGUGCCAGCAGCCGCGGUAAUACGUAUGGAGCAAGCGUUAUCCGGAUUUACUGGGCGUAAAGGGAGCGUAGGCGGCCUGCCAAGUCUGAUGUGAAAUACCGGGGCUCAACCCCGGGGCUGCAUUGGAAACUGGCAGGCUGGAGUGCCGGAGAGGCAGGCGGAAUUCCUAGUGUAGCGGUGAAAUGCGUAGAUAUCAGGAGGAACACCAGUGGCGAAGGCGGCUUACUGGACUGUAACUGACGUUGAGGCUCGAAAGCGUGGGGAGCAAACAGGAUUAGAUACCCCAGUA